GACGAACGCUGGCGGCGUGCUUAACACAUGCAAGUCGAACGGUGAAGCUCCAGCUUGCUGGAGUGGAUCAGUGGCGAACGGGUGAGUAACACGUGAGCAACCUGCCCCUGACUCUGGAAUAAGCGCUGGAAACGGCGUCUAAUACUGGAUACGAGAAGGGUCUGCAUGGGCACUUUCUGGAAAGUUCUUCGGUUGGGGAUGGGCUCGCGGCCUAUCAGCUUGUUGGUGAGGUAAUGGCUCACCAAGGCGACGACGGGUAGCCGGCCUGAGAGGGCGACCGGCCACACUGGGACUGAGACACGGCCCAGACUCCUACGGGAGGCAGCAGUGGGGAAUAUUGCACAAUGGGCGGAAGCCUGAUGCAGCAACGCCGCGUGAGGGAUGACGGCCUUCGGGUUGUAAACCUCUUUCAGCAGGGAAGAAGCGAAAGUGACGGUACCGGCAGAAGAAGCACCGGCUAACUACGUG
rnacentral:rRNA from 1 species